rnacentral:rRNA from 1 species
UGGGGAAUAUUGCACAAUGGGGGAAACCCUGAUGCAGCAACGCCGCGUGAGUGAUGACGGCCUUCGGGUUGUAAAGCUCUGUCUUCAGGGACGAUAAUGACGGUACCUGAGGAGGAAGCCACGGCUAACUACGUGCCAGCAGCCGCGGUAAUACGUAGGUGGCAAGCGUUGUCCGGAUUUACUGGGCGGAAAGGGAGCGUAGGCGGACUUUUAAGUGAGAUGUGAAAUACCCGGGCUCAACCUGGGUGCUGCAUUUCAAACUGGAAGUCUAGAGUGCAGGAGAGGAGAGUGGAAUUCCUAGUGUAGCGGUGAAAUGCGUAGAGAUUAGGAAGAACACCAGUGGCGAAGGCGACUCUCUGAACUGUAACUGACGCUGAGGCUCGAAAGCGUGGGGAGCAAACA